rnacentral:rRNA from 1 species
UACAGAGGUCUCGAGCGUUGUUCGGAUUCAUUGGGCGUAAAGGGUGCGUAGGUGGCUAGGUAAGUCGGGAUGUGAAAUCCCGGGGCUCAACCCCGGAACUGCAUUCGAUACUGCCUGGCUAGAGUACUGGAGAGGAGAUUGGAAUUUACGGUGUAGCAGUGAAAUGACGUAGAUAUCGUAAGGAAGACCAGUGGCGAAGGCGGAUCUCUGGACAGUUACUGACACUGAGGCAGCGAAGGCCAGGGGAGCAAACGGG